rnacentral:lncRNA from 1 species
ACUUCCGGCCUUUCCCGGGGCGGGCGCGCGCUGCUCUCAGGACUUUAAGCCAGAGGGAUGCUACGAGUUAAAAUAUCCGUGCUUGGGGCUCUCCAGGGGCAUGAGGACAUGAUAAUGCUAAGUCUGGGGAACGUGCAUACAUUCUACGUUAUUGAGCACCUGCUAUGUACCAGACAGUAUGCUGAGCUGUGGGAAUACAAGGAAGUUAUAGUCUAAUAGUCUAAUAGAAGAAACAGGAAUAAAUCAGUAAUUAUGAUAAAUUACCAUGAUAAAGGUGAGCAUAGAUUGUUAUGGGUGUCAAAAAGGAAUUUGUCUAAAUCGCAUAGAUAGGGAAGGUUUCCUGAAGGAGGAAAACCUGAGCUGAGUUUGUAGGAACAAACUGGUUAUACGAAUUGCACAGAAAUAGUCAACUAGCUAGGGAUUUAGCCGAGACUUGGACCCAAAUCUCCUGCAUGCAGUUCUCUGCUCUUUCCCCCAAGCUAAGGACCCAUCUUUGGUCCUUGACAUUGAGCUCCUUGACCUUCUCAGUCGCACGUCUACCUGUCAUACUUUGAGAAGGUCAGAGAUCCUGAAUUUUUUUUUUAAACCCACUCAUUUUUCUCUCCUUUUAGAACUAUUCUCUGGGUAUGUUCAGAAAAAUAGAUUAGAAGCAGAACAGAGAGACUGGAAAAAGUGCAGAAUGUUAUAAUAGUUCUGGCAAUAAUCGAUGAAGGCCAUGACCAAAGCAGAAGAACUGGGCUUGGCGCAAAACUCCACUCUGCUGGUUCUUCUUUGACACGCAGACUUUUGCAUGGAAUGUUAAAGCAUAGAAGCUCCUGGACUUGGCUCCAAAUGUAUGUGGGAGCGGGGGAGAAGGAGAGGUCUACAGGGACUCUCCAGCUUCUUUUUUGGGUGACUGUGUCAGUGGUUGUUGCUAGUUCACCAAGAUGGGAGCACAGUCCGAGGAGCAGAUUAGGCAGGAAAGAUGCUGAAUUCUGUUUUGGACAUUUUGAAUGUGAGGAGCCCCGGAGGCAAAUAGGUGGAGAUGCCCAGGAGACAGCUGAGUCAAAAGAAUUAGAACAAAGGAGAGGGUUCUGGGCUGGACGCACAGACCUGAGAGACCAGGCAAAAGGCUUACAUGUUACCAACCUAUGGAAUGAACUCCUUCUAGGUGACAUUGUGUAAGAGAUUCUUCUUGUCUGCUUUCUUCCAUUUGGGGGCACCAUAAUUUAGUUGCUGUAGUGUAACAUCCACCAAACACAGACCUUGUUUUAUGAGAAUAACUUUGGUGUGUGAGGUUUUUUUCCUGAACUCAAGAGUUUUAUAAACGUGAACAAAAUUUUCUCCACUUGGUUUCCAGGACAGCACCUGUCCUCCUUAUCUCCUUGGCUGGUUUCCUCUCAUUCCUCUGACAUCUGUACUUUGGAGGGGUCUGUUUACUGCCUGUAUUCAUUUCUGGGGUGGUUUUAUCCAGUUUCAUAGUUUGCAAUACCCUUUCUCUCUCAAUAACUCUCAAGGUUUCAGAGGUUAGAGUCCUAACCUCUCCUGACCUCCAGACUCCUAUACCAAACUCCCUCGACAUGCUCACUGGCAAAUUUAAUACGUCUAAAAGCAAACUCCUGAUCUUGUCUUCCAAAUCAGUUCCCCCACAGUCUCUCCUGUCUCAGUAAAUGACACAUCCUUGCUUCUCAGUUCUUAGGCCUUGCACCAUCAGGUCAUCACUGGUGCCCACUCUUGUCUCCCACACUGCACAUCAUGUCCACGAGUGCAUCUUUGACACAGGGUGGCAACCAAGCCUGGAUUCUGUGUGCUCCUUAGGUAAGAUAUGGUUUUUCAAUGCCACAUUUUAAUGUGCUAUUAAAUAUUCAUGUCUGUGGUUCCAGACUUUAUGGUCACCUGUCACCCCCACAUUCAGAAUUCAGUCACUUCCCACCAUCUGUCCUAAGUUACCAUCAUCUCUUGCCAGGAUCAUUGCAGUAGCCUCUUAUCUGCUCUCCCUGCUUUUUCUCUCUUGCUUUCUCUACAAUCUAACCUCAAUGAUCAGAGUGAUCCUGCAACAACUUAAAACACAGCUCAGAUCAUAUUAUUCCCCAGAUCAAAAUCUUCCACUGGCUCCCAUCUCACUCAAGAAUAAAAUCCAAAGAUCUUGCCACAGCCAAUAAGACCCUACAGGUUCUGGCCCCUACUCCCUCUCUGACUCCCACCUUCUGUCCACCUCACUCGCUGCAUCAAGCUUGUUUCCAUCUUUAGGUUUUGCACUUGCUAAUCUUGAUACCUGCAAAAGCUAUCUCCCCAAAGAGCCAUCAGGCCGGAUCCCUCACUUUGUUUUGGGGGUUUGCUCAGAUGCCCUUAGAUCUCUCAGUAAAAUUACAACCCCCACCUCAGCCAUGCUGGCUAUGACUCUUGCCCCAUUCUGUAAUUUUCCAUGGUAGUACACCUGACAUAUGAAUUAUUUCUUCCUUUACCAGAAUGUGAGAUCCAGGAGGUCAGGGACGAUGCUUUGUUCACUGAUAUACUCCCAGCACCUGGAACUUGGAGAAGGUGAACAGAUGUUGCCUAUUGAAGGAAUGAAAGGAGAAUGUCUGAAUCCAUGCUGUUGCAUGAGAAGUACACAUCUUACCAUAGAGUUAAAUUAAUCCUAACUCUAUACAAGAAGUACUGAUAACCAAUAACAACUCCUCAAAAGGAAGUGCCGAACAUUUUUAAACAAGUAUGGGGGGAUUUUUGUUUUGUUUUGUUUUUUUAAUUUUAUGGCUGCAGAUGCAGCAUAUGGAAGUUCCCUGUCCGGGGAUUAAAUCCUAGCACUGCACCUGGCUGGGAAUUGAACCUGCACCUCUACAGCCACCCCAAGCCACCACAGUUGGAUUUUUUGUUUGUUUGUUUUCUUUUUUGAGCCACACCCACAGCAGAUGGAAGUUCCCAGGCUAGGGGUCAAAUUGGAGCUAUAGCUGCUGGCCUACACCACAGCCACAGCAGUGCCAGAUCCAAGCCACACCUGCGACCUACACCACAGCUCAUGGCAAUGCUGGAUCCUUAACCCACUGAGCGAGGCCAGGGAUCAAACCUAUGAUCCCAGGGAUACUAGUCGGGUUCGUUAACCACUGAGCCACAAGGGGAACUCCCACAGUUGCAUUCGUAACCCACUGCACCACAAUGGGAGCUUCCAAGUAUGGUUUUCUUUUUGUUUGUUUUAUUAUUUUAUUUUCCCAAGUAUGGUUGUAAAUGAAAAUUUCUCCAUUGUGGGUAAGUCUAGAUUUCUUAAAUUCCUUAAUCCUUACAAUUUUGCUGAUGUUUUUCUGACCAUCCCAUGAAGGUGAGGCCUGAGAUGCUGGCCUGGCAUUCUUACAUGAGGGUCUGUGUUCUUAGAUUCUGCCUUUGCCUGGGUUCAGUUACAGAGCUGCUAUGAAAUUACCCACUAAAGGGGUUUUGCUUCCCUCCCAAUAUGCUCUAUGACAUGUCUGCCCAUUGUUACUUACUGCUGAAAUAACUUCGAGAGCACGAGGAGGUUGUAUUCUGCUCCCUGGGGGUAGUGCUGCGUGGAAAGCAGCUUCCUUCCUUGUUAGGGCACAUGGUGAGACCACCAUGGCACUUCCUGAAUAGUUCUAGUCAACAGUCUCCUUCCUUCCCACUUCAGAACCUCUGGGCUGGGACAAGGACUGUGGCCAGAGGAUUUUAACGUUUAAAAAAUAGACAUGGGGCUGUCAGGUGUAAUGAUGAACCCACCAAGAAGGCCCUUAGGCCCUUAGGAGACUGAAGAACAGUGAGGCCAACACUGAAAUGUUAUUGUUUUAAAAUCAGCCAAGUAUUUUUAUCUUGAAAAUCCUAUCUUUUUAACAUAUGGAAAUAGUGGGGACGCAAUUCAGACUCAACUAGUUUUAAGAACAGUUGCUAAACUUGCCUUAAUAAGAAGAAAGUCCAGGAGUUCCCGUCGUGGCACAGUGGUUAACGAAUCCGACUAGGAACCAUGAGGUUGCGGGUUCGGUCCCUGCCCUUGCUCAGUGGGUUAACGAUCCGGCGUUGCUGUGAGUUGUGGUGUAGGUUGCAGACGUGGCUCGGAUCCCGCGUUGCUGUGGCUCUGGCGUAGGCCGGUGGCUACAGCUCCGAUUCGACCCCUAGCCUGGGAACCUCCAUAUGGCGCGGAAGCGGCCCAAGAAAUAGCAACAACAACAAAAAAGACAAAAAAAAAAAAAA